AGAACCCUGAAAACAAAUAAACUAGCUGCUAAGGAGUGUGCCUGGCAGGUACCAGCGAGUUAGAAGAGGAGAGUGAAUGGCUGCAAAAGGGAAGAGAGAACAGGAAGAGAACGGAUGGGUGUGAUGAGCCAAAGAUUUUAAGGCUAGAUAUGAAUCAUGUUUUCCCAUAUGCAUAGAACAAGCCAUGGAGCCGCACAGUGCAAUUUCUGCAUCAAGCCCAGAGCAACUAUUUGAACCCCAGCACCUUUUCAGAAAGCCAGCUGCAACUUCAAGCUGCAAGUGACAGCAAGUCUAUAGCAUCCAUGUGUAAACUGACCCUGGCAUUGGAUUCUGAUCUGAAUUUCUUUACCCUCA